UGAGGAAUAUUGGUCAAUGGGCGAGAGCCUGAACCAGCCAAGUAGCGUGCAGGAUGACGGCCCUAUGGGUUGUAAACUGCUUUUGUAUGGGGAUAAAGUCAAUCACGUGUGAUUGUUUGCAGGUACCAUACGAAUAAGGACCGGCUAAUUCCGUGCCAGCAGCCGCGGUAAUACGGAAGGUCCGGGCGUUAUCCGGAUUUAUUGGGUUUAAAGGGAGCGUAGGCUGGAGAUUAAGUGUGUUGUGAAAUGUAGACGCUCAACGUCUGACUUGCAGCGCAUACUGGUUUCCUUGAGUACGCACAACGUUGGCGGAAUUCGUCGUGUAGCGGUGAAAUGCUUAGAUAUGACGAAGAACUCCGAUUGCGAAGGCAGCUGACGGGAGCGCAACUGACGCUGAAGCUCGAAGGUGCGGGUAUCGAACAGGAUUAGAUACCCUGGUAGUCCGCACAGUAAACGAUGGAUGCCCGCUGUUGGUACCUGGUAUCAGCGGCUAAGCGAAAGCAUUAAGCAUCCCACCUGGGGAGUACGCCGGCNCGGU
rnacentral:rRNA from 1 species